UACGGGGGGAGCAAGCGUUGUUCGGAUUUACUGGGCGUAAAGGGCGCGUAGGCGGUCAGCACAGGUCAGUUGUGAAAUCUCCGAGCUUAACUCGGAACGGUCAACUGAUACUGUGCGACUAGAGUGCGGAAGGGGCAACUGGAAUUCUCGGUGUAGCGGUGAAAUGCGUAGAUAUCGAGAGGAACACCUGCGGCGAAGGCGGGUUGCUGGGCCGACACUGACGCUGAUGCGCGAAAGCCAGGGGAGCGAACGGG
rnacentral:rRNA from 1 species